AUGUGCUUGUUUCAGCCACACAUAUACUAAAAUUGGAACGAUACAAAGAUUAGCAUAGACCCUGCACAAGGAUAACAUGCAAAUUCAUGAAGCAUUCCAUAUUUUG
ensembl:snRNA U6 U6 spliceosomal RNA